AGAAGAAGAAGAAGAGGGAAAAAAAAAGAAGACCGAUUAGCAGAAUACACAUCAAGAUCAAGAUCAAGAUGUAAACAAAGAGCGCCAAGCAAGCAAACUGACAAUCAUUCGUCUAUUUUCCGUUCUUUUCCUAAUUAUUCCACGCCUGACGCUUAAGUUUCCACCGUGCAGUGUUACGUCACCACCGGCACUGCGCGUGGGGUGUUGUGUGGGGACCCGGGAAGGACCACAAAGCCAGCUAAGCCACAGAGAAGCAGAAAGCCAGUCAGCCAGCACUGGGGAGACUGUCAGAGUGGCUUAGAGGAAGAGGAAGAGGAGGAGGAGGUGAAGGAGGACAUAGUGGAGAGAAGAGAGCAGGAAAAAGAAGGGAAAUUAGAAGAAAAGGAAAAGA